UACGUAGGGUGCAAGCGUUGUCCGGAAUUAUUGGGCGUAAAGAGCUCGUAGGCGGUCUGUCGCGUCUGCUGUGAAAACCUGGGGCUUAACCCCGGGCCUGCAGUGGGUACGGGCAGACUAGAGUGCGGUAGGGGAGACUGGAAUUCCUGGUGUAGCGGUGAAUGACGCAGAUAUCAGGAGGAACAGCCGGUGGCGAAGGCGGGUCUCUGGGCCGAUACUGACGCUGAGGAGCGAAAGCGUGGGGAGCGAACAGG
rnacentral:rRNA from 1 species